rnacentral:rRNA from 1 species
CGAAGGGGCGUAGCGUUGUUCGGAUUUACUGGGGCGUAAAGACGCGCGUAGGCGGAUAAAUUAAGUUAGAGGUGAAAUACCCAGGGCUCAACCCUCGGAACUGCCUUUAAUACUGUUUAUCUAGAGUAUGAAGAGGUGAGUGGAAUUCCGAGUGUAGAGGUGAAAUUACGUAGAUAUUCGGAGGAACAUCAGUGGCGAAGGCGGCUCACUGGUUCAUUACUGACGCUGAGGUGCGAAAGCGUGGGGAGCAAACAGGAUU